rnacentral:rRNA from 1 species
GAGUUUGAUCUUGGCUCAGAUUGAACGCUGGCGGCAUGCCUUACACAUGCAAGUCGAACGGCAGCACGGGAGCUUGCCCCUGGUGGCGAGUGGCGAACGGGUGAGUAAUGCAUCGGAACGUAUCCUGGAGUGGGGGAUAACGUAGCGAAAGUUACGCUAAUACCGCAUAUUCUGUGAGCAGGAAAGCGGGGGACCUUCGGGCCUCGCGCUCUUGGAGCGGCCGAUGUCGGAUUAGCUAGUUGGUGAGGUAAAGGCUCACCAAGGCGACGAUCCGUAGCAGGUCUGAGAGGAUGAUCUGCCACACUGGAACUGAGACACGGUCCAGACUCCUACGGGAGGCAGCAGUGGGGAAUUUUGGACAAUGGGGGCAACCCUGAUCCAGCCAUGCCGCGUGAGUGAAGAAGGCCUUCGGUUGUAAG